UACGGAGGGUGCGAGCGUUGUCCGGAAUCAUUGGGCGUAAAGGGCGCGUAGGUGGCCACUUCAAGCGUGCGGUGAAAGUCGGGGGCUCAACCCCUGAUCGGCCGUGCGAACUGGGGGGCUGGAGCACUGUAGAGGCAGGCGGAAUUCCGGGUGUGAGCGGUGGAAUGCGUGAGAGAUCCGGAAGAACGACCGGUGGCGAAGGCGGCCUGCUGGGCAGUUUUGCUGACACUGAGGCGCGACAGCGUGGGGAGCAAACAGGG
rnacentral:rRNA from 1 species